rfam:Gossypium hirsutum cultivar TM-1 chromosome 6, whole genome shotgun sequence
AAUCCAUGCAUCAGACGUUUCUGAAGUAACUCCUUAAAUCAUUCCCAAGCAUCAUAUAGUGUUUCAUCCUUUAUUUGAAAAAAAGAUUUGAUAUUUUUUCUAAGCUU